rnacentral:rRNA from 1 species
AACGAACGCUGGCGGCAUGCCUAACACAUGCAAGUCGAACGAGACCUUCGGGUCUAGUGGCGCACGGGUGCGUAACGCGUGGGAACCUGCCCUUAGGUUCGGAAUAACUCCCCGAAAGGGGUGCUAAUACCGGAUAAUGUCUUCGGACCAAAGAUUUAUCGCCUUUGGAUGGGCCCGCGUUGGAUUAGCUAGUUGGUAGGGUAAAAGCCUACCAAGGCGACGAUCCAUAGCUGGUCUGAGAGGAUGAUCAGCCACACUGGGACUGAGACACGGCCCAGACUCCUACGGGAGGGAGGAAGGGGGAAAUUUGGGAAAUGGGCGAAAGCCUGAUCCAACAAUGCCGGGUGAGUGAUGAAGGCCUUAGGGUUUUAAAGCCCUUUUACCCGGGAUGAAAAUGAAAGGACCGGGAGAAUAAGCCCCGGCUAACCCCG